rnacentral:misc_RNA from 1 species
GGGAAGUAUUCGGUGCAAUCAUCUAAUCCGGUGUAAUAAUAUAACUUUUAUCCUACACCGUUGGAUCGAGAAAUGGACGUCCGAGAUUCGUACAUGUCACCAUGAGUUAAAAUUUAACUUCCAGUAAAUUUAAAUUCAUGAGUGAAUCCGCGAGUUAAAUUUUAACUCAUGGUGACGUGGACGAAUCUCGAACGUCCAUUUCUCGAUCCAACGGUGUAGGAUGAGAGUUGUAUUAUUACACCGAAUUAGGUGAUUGCACCAUAUACUUCC